rnacentral:rRNA from 1 species
UACGUAGGGUGCGAGCGUUUGUCCGGAAUUAUUGGGCGUAAAGGGCUCGUAGGCGGUUUGUCGCGUCGGGAGUGAAAUCAUCUGGCUUAACUGGGUGCUUGCUUUCGAUACGGGCAGACUAGAGGUAUGGCAGGGGAGAACGGAAUUCCUGGUGUAGCGGUGAAAUGCGCAGAUAUCAGGAGGAACACCGGUGGCGAAGGCGGUUCUCUGGGCAUGAUCUGACGCUGAGGAGCGAAAGUGUGGGGAGCGAACAGG